rnacentral:rRNA from 1 species
GGUGGAUUAGUGGCGAACGGGUGAGUAACACGUGAGCAACCUGCCCCUGACUCUGGGAUAAGCGCUGGAAACGGCGUCUAAUACUGGAUAUGUCCCAUCACCGCAUGGUGUGUGGGUGGAAAGAUUUUUCGGUUGGGGAUGGGCUCGCGGCCUAUCAGCUUGUUGGUGAGGUAAUGGCUCACCAAGGCGUCGACGGGUAGCCGGCCUGAGAGGGUGACCGGCCACACUGGGACUGAGACACGGCCCAGACUCCUACGGGAGGCAGCAGUGGGGAAUAUUGCACAAUGGGCGGAAGCCUGAUGCAGCAACGCCGCGUGAGGGAUGACGGCCUUCGGGUUGUAAACCUCUUUUAGCAGGGAAGAAGCGAGAGUGACGGUACCUGCAGAAAAAGCACCGGCUAACUACGUGCCAGCAGCCGCGGUAAUACGUAGGGUGCAAGCGUUAUCCGGAAUUAUUGGGCGUAAAGAGCUCGUAGGCGGUCUGUCGCGUCUGCUGUGAAAUUCCGAGGCUCAACCUCGGGCUUGCAGUGGGUACGGGCAGACUAGAGUGCGGUAGGGGAGAUUGGAAUUCCUGGUGUAGCGGUGGAAUGCGCAGAUAUCAGGAGGAACACCGAUGGCGAAGGCAGAUCUCUGGGCCGUAACUGACGCUGAGGAGCGAAAGGGUGGGGAGCAAACAGGCUUUAGAUACCCUGGUAGUCCACCCCGUAAACGUUGGGAACUAGUUGUGGGGUCCUUUCCACGGAUUCCGUGACGCAGCUAACGCAUUAAGUUCCCCGCCUGGGGAGUACGGCCGCAAGGCUAAAACUCAAAGGAAUUGACGGGGACCCGCACAAGCGGCGGAGCAUGCGGAUUAAUUCGAUGCAACGCGAAGAACCUUACCAAGGCUUGACAUACACGAGAACGGGCCAGAAAUGGUCAACUCUUUGGACACUCGUGAACAGGUGGUGCAUGGUUGUCGUCAGCUCGUGUCGUGAGAUGUUGGGUUAAGUCCCGCAACGAGCGCAACCCUCGUUCUAUGUUGCCAGCACGUAAUGGUGGGAACUCAUGGGAUACUGCCGGGGUCAACUCGGAGGAAGGUGGGGAUGACGUCAAAUCAUCAUGCCCCUUAUGUCUUGGGCUUCACGCAUGCUACAAUGGCCGGUACAAUGGGCUGCAAUACCGUGAGGUGGAGCGAAUCCCAAAAAGCCGGUCCCAGUUCGGAUUGAGGUCUGCAACUCGACCUCAUGAAGUCGGAGUCGCUAGUAAUCGCAGAUCAGCAACGCUGCGGUGAAUACGUUCCCGGGUCUUGUACACACCGCCCGUC